CAGACAGGCGGGAUACCAGACAGACAGGGAACUUCUGGGAGACAGCUCCUUGAGGCUGGGUUGUAUCGCCACUGGAGACGGGAACAGAAGACGAGAAGAGGGAGAUCACAGGGAUCACCUUGUGAACGAAGUUGAAAGCGUGUAAGGAGCCCAGCUUGAUGCCUUAUAGACUGCUUCCACACCAGCCAUCUCUGUUGAUGUGAAAAUACCAGGAGGGCCGAGAUUUUUGUCUAUGUUGAUCAUUGCUGCAUCUUCAAGACAGAAAGCACAUACUAGGUGCUCAAUUAAGACCUGCGGACACAGACAGAAUGCGAGAACGAACAAGCGAACCUGCUCAACAACCCCGAGGUGGGAAUUAGCCUUUCUGACAGAAGAAGAAAAUGAAGUUCAGAAAGAUAGAGUGAGGACUUGCUCAAGAUCGCAUAGCAAAAGCUGCAUUUCUGAGCCUCAGUUCCCCAGCAUUAGAACUGAGGCCGGGGCCUGUGGGUGCCUCAUUCGGUCAAGCAUCUGCCUUCGGCUCAGGUCGUGAUCUUGGGGUCCUGGAAUGGAGCUCCCCGUAGAGCUCCCCGCUCAGCAAGGAGUCUGCUUUUCCCUCUCCCUCUCCCUCUCUCCCCCUGCUCAUG